AGGACGAACGCUGGCGGCGCGCUUAAUACAUGCAAGUCGAGCGAGAACCAGGGCUUCGGCCCUGGGGACAGCGGCGAACGGGUGAGUAACACGUGGGUAAUCAACCCCCGACACCGGGAUAGCCCAGGGAAACUUGGAUUAAUACCGGAUGCUCCAUCUGGCUUUCGAGCCGGCUGGAAAAGGGUAGCUUCGGCCUCCGGUCGGGGACGAGCCCGCGGCGGAUUAGCUUGUUGGUGAGGUAAAGGCUCACCAAGGCGACGAUCCGUAGCUGGUCUGAGAGGACGAUCAGCCACACUGGGACUGAGACACGGCCCAGGCUCCUACGGGAGGCAGCAGUAGGGAAUCUUGCGCAAUGGGCGAAAGCCUGACGCAGCGACGCCGCGUGAGGGAAGAGGCCUUCGGGUUGUAACCUCUUUCGACGGGACGAUAAUGACGGUACCGUAGAAGAAGCUCCGGCUAACUUCGUGCCAGCAGCCGC
rnacentral:rRNA from 1 species